UCCGCGGUAGCUCAAUGGUGGAGCAAGAAGCUGUUAACUUCAAGGUUGCAGGUUCGAGUCCUGCCCGCGGAGCCA
rnacentral:tRNA from 4 species